rnacentral:rRNA from 1 species
AGGGCACCACCAGGAGUGGAGCCUGCGGCUUAAUUUGACUCAACACGGGAAAUCUCACCAGGCCCGGACACCGGAAGGAUUGACAGAUUGAGAGCUCUUUCUUGAUUCGGUGGGUGGUGGUGCAUGGCCGUUCUUAGUUGGUGGAGCGAUUUGUCUGGUUAAUUCCGACAACGAACGAGACUCUGGCCUACUAAAUAGACGUUAGAUCCCUUUGUGGGUCUAUCGCAGCUUCUUAGAGGGACGGGCGGCGUUCAGCCGCACGAGAUUGAGCAAUAACAGGUCUGUGAUGCCCUUAGAUGUUCUGGGCUGCACGCGCGCUACACUGAAGGAAUCAGCGUGUGUUCCCUGCCCGAAAGGACUGGGAAACCCGUUGAACCUCCUUCGUGAUGGGGAUUGGGGAUUGCAAUUAUUCCCCAUGAACGAGGAAUUCCCAGUAGGCGCGAGUCAUAAGCUUGCGUCGAUUACGUCCCUGCCCUUUGUACACACCGCCCGUCGCUACUACCGAUCGAGUGAUUUAGU